UGCAGUAGAACGCUGAAGAGAGGAGCUUGCUCUUCUUGGAUGAGUUGCGAACGGGUGAGUAACGCGUAGGUAACCUGCCUUGUAGCGGGGGAUAACUAUUGGAAACGAUAGCUAAUACCGCAUAACAAUGGAUGACCCAUGUCAUUUAUUUGAAAGGGGCAAAUGCUCCACUACAAGAUGGACCUGCGUUGUAUUAGCUAGUAGGUGAGGUAACGGCUCACCUAGGCGACGAUACAUAGCCGACCUGAGAGGGUGAUCGGCCACACUGGGACUGAGACACGGCCCAGACUCCUACGGGAGGCAGCAGUAGGGAAUCUUCGGCAAUGGGGGCAACCCUGACCGAGCAACGCCGCGUGAGUGAAGAAGGUUUUCGGAUCGUAAAGCUCUGUUGUAAGUCAAGAACGAGUGUGAGAGUGGAAAGUUCACACUGUGACGGUAGCUUACCAGAAAGGGACGGCUAACUACGUGCCAGCAGCCGCGGUAAUACGUAGGUCCCGAGCGUUGUCCGGAUUUAUUGGGCGUAAAGCGAGCGCAGGCGGUUUGAUAAGUCUGAAGUUAAAGGCUGUGGCUCAACCAUAGUUCGCUUUGGAAACUGUCAAACUUGAGUGCAGAAGGGGAGAGUGGAAUUCCAUGUGUAGCGGUGAAAUGCGUAGAUAUAUGGAGGAACACCGGUGGCGAAAGCGGCUCUCUGGUCUGUAACUGACGCUGAGGCUCGAAAGCGUGGGGAGCGAACAGGAUUAGAUACCCUGGUAGUCCACGCCGUAAACGAUGAGUGCUAGGUGUUGGAUCCUUUCCGGGAUUCAGUGCCGCAGCUAACGCAUUAAGCACUCCGCCUGGGGAGUACGACCGCAAGGUUGAAACUCAAAGGAAUUGACGGGGGCCCGCACAAGCGGUGGAGCAUGUGGUUUAAUUCGAAGCAACGCGAAGAACCUUACCAGGUCUUGACAUCCCGAUGCUAUUUCUAGAGAUAGAAAGUUACUUCGGUACAUCGGUGACAGGUGGUGCAUGGUUGUCGUCAGCUCGUGUCGUGAGAUGUUGGGUUAAGUCCCGCAACGAGCGCAACCCCUAUUGUUAGUUGCCAUCAUUCAGUUGGGCACUCUAGCGAGACUGCCGGUAAUAAACCGGAGGAAGGUGGGGAUGACGUCAAAUCAUCAUGCCCCUUAUGACCUGGGCUACACACGUGCUACAAUGGUUGGUACAACGAGUUGCGAGUCGGUGACGGCAAGCUAAUCUCUUAAAGCCAAUCUCAGUUCGGAUUGUAGGCUGCAACUCGCCUACAUGAAGUCGGAAUCGCUAGUAAUCGCGGAUCAGCACGCCGCGGUGAAUACGUUCCCGGGCCUUGUACACACCGCCCGUCACACCACGAGAGUUUGUAACACCCGAAGUCGGUGAGGUAACCUUUUGGAGCCAGCCGCCUAAGUG
rnacentral:rRNA from 1 species